rnacentral:rRNA from 1 species
UUGAACGCUGGCGGCAUGCCUUACACAUGCAAGUCGAACGGCAGCACGGGUGCUUGCACCUGGUGGCGAGUGGCGAACGGGUGAGUAAUGUAUCGGAACGUACCAUUCAGUGGGGGAUAACUAUCCGAAAGGAUAGCUAAUACCGCAUAUUCUGUGAGCAGGAAAGCAGGGGAUCGCAAGACCUUGCGCUGAUUGAGCGGCCGAUAUCAGAUUAGCUAGUUGGUGAGGUAAAGGCUUACCAAGGCGACGAUCUGUAGCGGGUCUGAGAGGAUGAUCCGCCACACUGGAACUGAGACACGGUCCAGACUCCUACGGGAGGCAGCAGUGGGGAAUUUUGGACAAUGGGCGCAAGCCUGAUCCAGCCAUGCCGCGUGAGUGAAGAAGGCCUUCGGGUUGUAAAGCUCUUUCGGCCGGGAAGAAAUCGCAUGGGUUAAUACCCUGUGUGGAUGACGGUACCGGAAUAAGAAGCACCGGCUAACUACGUG